rnacentral:tRNA from 1 species
GGGGUUGUGGCUCAGCGGUAGAGCGCUCGCCUAGCCUGUGGGUAAGCCCUGGGUUCGAACCUCAGCACCACA